rnacentral:rRNA from 1 species
UACGUAGGUGGCAAGCGUUGUCCGGAUUUACUGGGCGUAAAGCGUGUGUAGGCGGACCUUUAAGUAGAAAGUGAAAGGUGGGAGCUCAACUCCUACAUUGCUCUCUAUACUGGAGGUCUUGAGUGUCGGAGAGGAAGAUGGAACUGCACGUGUAGCGGUGAAAUGCGUUGAGAUGUGCAGGAACACCAAUGGCGAAGGCAAUCUUCUGGACGAAAACUGACGCUGAGACACGAAAGCCAAGGUAGCAAACAGG